rnacentral:rRNA from 1 species
GACGAACGCUGGCGGCGUGCCUAAUACAUGCCAGUAGAACGCUGAAGAGAGGAGCUUGCUCUUCUUGGAUGAGUUGCGAACGGGUGAGUAACGCGUAGGUAACCUGCCUUGUAGCGGGGGAUAACUAUUGGAAACGAUAGCUAAUACCGCAUAACAAUGGAUGACACAUGUCAUUUAUUUGAAAGGGGCAAUUGCUCCACUACAAGAUGGACCUGCGUUGUAUUAGCUAGUAGGUGAGGUAACGGCUCACCUAGGCGACGAUACAUAGCCGACCUGAGAGGGUGAUCGGCCACCCUGGGAAUGAGACACGGCCCAGACUCCUACGGGAGGCAGCAGUAGGGAAUCUUCGGCAAUGGGGGCAACCCUGACCGAGCAACGCCGCGUGAGUGAAGAAGGUUUUCGGAUCGUAAAGCUCUGUUGUAAGUCAAGAACGAGUGUGAGAGUGGAAAGUUCACACUGUGACGGUAGCUUACCAGAAAGGGACGGCUAACUACGUG